UCAGAUUGAACGCUGGCGGCAGGCUUAACACAUGCAAGUCGAGCGGUAACAGGUCCUUCGGGAUGCUGACGAGCGGCGGACGGGUGAGUAAUGCUUAGGAAUCUGCCUGGUAGUGGGGGAUAGCCCGGGGAAACCCGGAUUAAUACCGCGUACGCCCUUCGGGGGAAAGCAGGGGAUCUUCGGACCUUGCGCUAUCAGAUGAGCCUAAGCCGGAUUAGCUAGUUGGUAGGGUAAAGGCCUACCAAGGCGACGAUCCGUAGCUGGUCUGAGAGGAUGAUCAGCCACAUCGGGACUGAGACACGGCCCGAACUCCUACGGGAGGCAGCAGUGGGGAAUAUUGGACAAUGGGGGCAACCCUGAUCCAGCCAUGCCGCGUGUGUGAAGAAGGCUUUCGGGUUGUAAAGCACUUUCAGUGAGGAGGAAGGCCUUAAGGUUAAUACCCUUGAGGAUUGACGUUACUCACAGAAGAAGCACCGGCUAACUCCGUGCCAGCAGCCGCGGUAAUACGGAGGGUGCAAGCGUUAAUCGGAAUUACUGGGCGUAAAGCGCGCGUAGGUGGUUUGAUAAGCGAGAUGUGAAAGCCCCGGGCUUAACCUGGGAACGGCAUUUCGAACUGUCAGGCUAGAGUGUGGUAGAGGGUAGUGGAAUUUCCUGUGUAGCGGUG
rnacentral:rRNA from 1 species